rnacentral:rRNA from 1 species
GACGAACGCUGGCGGCGUGCUUAACACAUGCAAGUCGAACGGAAAGGCCCCUUUGGGGGUCCUCGAGUGGCGAACGGGUGAGUAACACGUGAGUAACCUGCCCUUGACUUCGGGAUAAGUUCAGGAAACUGGGGCUAAUACCGGAUAGGAAUCCUUGCUGCAUGGUGGGGGUUGGAAAGCUUCGGCGGGUUUGGAUGGACUCGCGGCUUAUCAGCUUAUUGGUGGGGUAGUGGGUUACCAAGGCGUUGACGGGUAGCCGGCCUGAGAGAGCGAGCGGCCACAUUGGGACUGACAUGCGGCACAGACGCCUACGGUAGGCAGCAGGGGGGAAUAUUGCACAAGGGGCGGAAGCCGGAUGCAGCAGCGCUGCGUGCGGGAUGACGGCCUUCGGGUUGUAGACCGCUUUCAGCAUAGGCGAAGCUUGUGGUGACGGUACCUACAGAAGAAGCACCGGCUAACUACGUG